rnacentral:tRNA from 1 species
GUUCCCGUAGCUCAGUGGAUAGAGCACCGGUCUCCGGAACCGGGUGCGCAGGUUCGAGUCCUGUCGGGAACA